UGUGUGUGUUUUUUUUUUUUGUUUUGUUUUGUUGUUUUUUUUAAACCCAGGUACAAACACGUUUUUGUAUAGCUUUUUGAAUGAGUGAACACAUUUGAACCAGGUCGGUAUCCAAUUGCCAGUAGUGGCGCACAAAAUGGCGGACAAGGGAGUGCUGGGACUGUAGUAAUGUCAUCGGGAAUCUGUUAUGAGUUUUCCCCAGAAUCAUCGGACCUUGCUGUAUGUCUUUUGGAUCCCGCCUAGCCUAGCGUUUCUGUACCACUGCCUUGUCGGACUGCCACACCGUGUAUGACCCAGUUUCUGGAAUAAACCACAUUAUACCUCUGCCUCGAAGUCCUGCAUUUGGGUCCGCCCCCGUACCAGAGCUGGAAUGGCAGAUGUGUCUUAAUGAUUCUCGGAGGAGCCAUUUUACUCAGGAGCUCAAGGCCUGACGAUGAAAUAAUUUACUGUAGCGUACGGGAGAGCUUUUCACCACGAGGUCACACAAACUGUGAAUCUCGACUGCUGCACUUUGACGGUGUGAGACAACAAGUUGCUACCGUGAGCGAGGAAAGGCCUCCUGGCCGUAAUUUACAUUUGAACAGGUAACUUGAUUUAAAACAAAAACAUAUGUGGUAGAAAUUCAGACACGGUUAACGUGAUCAUCGAGGGACAGGCUGACCAAACUGAAUUUUCUGUUCAUCAGCUUAAUGGUGCAGACGUGCUCGCUCUUGUGAGAAAUUCCUCUUUCCCACCUUGCUUCUGCGAGAAUUUCCCAGUCUGGUUUCUCCAGUAACGCGACAAGCGCCAGAGAGCAUGUGAGGCUGCCGCCGACAUUUAUUGAAAUGGACGAGGUAUUCGCGCAACAGAUUUCCUUCCUUGCUCUUCUGGGUGCCUGCUCAGUUUGUUUGCAUUGAGCUUCGAUCAUACUGACACCUGUUUAAAAUAAGUCAUCAAAUUUUUCACAGUUGGAGUAAUUUUG